rnacentral:rRNA from 1 species
GACGAACGCUGGCGGCGUGCUUAACACAUGCCAGUCGAACGGAAAGGCCCCUUUGGGGGUACUCGAGUGGCGAACGGGUGAGUAACACGUGAGUAACCUGCCCUUGACUUCGGGAUAACUUCAGGAAACUGGGGCUAAUACCGGAUAGGAAUCCUUGCUGCAUGGUGGGGGUUGGAAAGCUUCGGGGGUUUUGGAUGGACUCGCGGCUUAUCAGCUUGUUGGUGGGGUAGUGGCUUACCAAGGCUUUGACGGGUAGCCGGCCUGAGAGGGCGACCGGCCACAUUGGGACUGAGAUACGGCCCAGACUCCUACGGGAGGCAGCAGUGGGGAAGAUUGCACAAUGGGCGGAAGCCUGAUGCAGCAACGCCGCGUGCGGGAUGACGGCCUUCGGGUUGUAAACCGCUUUCAGCAGGGGCGAAGCUUGUGGUGACGGUACCUGCAGAAGAAGCACCGGCUAACUACGUG